UACGUAGGGGGCAAGCGUUGUCCGGAUUUAUUGGGCGUAAAGAGCGUGUAGGCGGUCAGGUAGGUCCGUUGUGAAAACUCGAGGCUCAACCUCGAGACGCCGAUGGAAACCAUCUGACUAGAGUCCGGAAGAGGAGAGUGGAAUUCCUGGUGUAGCGGUGGAAUGCGCAGAUAUCAGGAGGAACACCAAUGGCGAAGGCAGCUCGCUGGGACGGUACUGACGCUGAGACGCGAAAGCGUGGGGAGCAAACAGG
rnacentral:rRNA from 1 species